rnacentral:ncRNA from 1 species
CAACGGACUUAAGCCAAAAGGAUUGAGUGCGCCCGGGGAAAUCCGGGACGUAGAACUGCUCAAAUUCGGGGAACCCUGUCAGAUGGCGAUCCCGAGCCAAGCCCCUCCCCGGGGAAGGUGUAGAGACUAGACGGGCAGCACCUAACCUCCGACUUUCGGAGCACGGUGAAGGGAUAGUCCAGACCACGAACGGCCCG